AAGUCGUAACAAGGUCUCCGUUGGUGAACCAGCGGAGGGAUCAUUACAGAGUUGCAAAACUCCCAACCAUUGUGAACCUACCUCACCGUUGCUUCGGCGGGUGGCCCGGGGCAACCCAGGCCGCGCCGGCCCCUCCUUCAGGGGCCGGUAAACCCGUCAGAGGACCGAAACUCUUCGUCAUCAGUGGCCUCUCUGAGUAACUUAUACAAUAAGUCAAAACUUUCAACAACGGAUCUCUUGGUUCUG
rnacentral:misc_RNA from 1 species